rnacentral:ncRNA from 1 species
GGCAUGCUUAACACAUCCAAGUCGGAUGGAAAACACGGAAAACAAUGUUUUCAGUAGCGGACGGGUGAGGAACGCGUAAGAACCUGCCCUUGGGAGGGGAACAAUAGUUGGAAACGAUUGCUAAUACCCCGUAGGCUAAGGAGCAAAAGGAGGAAUUCGUCUGAGGAGGGGCUCGCGUUUGAUUAGCUAAUUGGUGAGGCAAUAGCUUACCAAGACGAUGAUCAGUAGCUGGUCCGAAAGGAUGAUCAGCCACACUGGGACUGAGAUACGGCCCAAACUCCUACGGGAGGCAGCAGUGUGGAAUUUUCGCAAUGGGCGAAAGCCUGACGGAGCAAUGCC